UACGUAGGAUCCGAGCGUUGUCCGGAUUUACUGGGUGUAAAGGGUGCGCAGGCGGACUGGUAAGUCAGAGGUGAAAUCUCGCCGCUCAACGGCGAAACUGCCUUUGAUACUAUCAGUCUUGAAUCCGGUAGAGAUCUGUGGAAUUCCGAGUGUAGCAGUGAAAUGUGUAGAUAUUCGGAAGAACACCAGUGGCGAAGGCAGCAGAUUGGGCCGGUAUUGACGCUCAGGCACGAAAGCACGGGGAUCAAACAGG
rnacentral:rRNA from 1 species